rnacentral:lncRNA from 1 species
AAGCCAAUAGAAAACAUAACACAAGAUGGUAAAUUUAAACCUAACCAUAUCAAUAAUUACAUUGAAUAUAAAUGGUCCCAACAUGCCAAUUAAGAGACAAAAACCACCAGACUGGAUAAGAAAGCAAGACUCAACUCUAUAUUGCCUAUAAUAAACCCACUUUAAAUAUAAAGACACAACAUAGCGUAAACAUAAAGGUGGGGGCAGUAUACCAAGCUAAGACUAAUCACAAUAAAGACGUAGUUGUUACAUUGAUAUCAGACACAGUAGACUUCAGAACAAAGAAUAUUACCAUUGAUAAAGAAGACCAUGUCAUAAUGACAACUCAGUGAAUUUAUGAUGAGUAGAUAACAAUUCUGUGUUUGUGCACCUAAAAACAGAGCUUCAAGAUGCAUGAAGCAAAAAUGAAUAGACCUACACAGAGAAAUAGCUGCAUCAACAAUUCUCGACAAAGAUUUCAAUGCCCCUCAAUAUAUUGCUGGUGAAACAAGCAGACAGAAAGUCAAUGACAAUAUAGAAGACUCGAGCAUCACUAUUACCAACUUGACCUAAUUGUCACAUGUAGAACCCUCCACCCCACAACAGAAGACUAUGCAUUAUUUUCAAGUGUAUGUGGAACAUUUACCAAGAGAGACUGUAUUCCGUGCCAUAAAACAAGUCUCAGUACAUUUUAGACAAUUCCAGUAACACAAAGUGUGUUCUUCAACCACAUACAAUAAAAUUAAGUUAGAAAUUAACGAGAGCGUUAUUCAGAAAAUCUACAAAUAUUUGGGAACCAAAUAAUGUGCUUUCAAUUACCCUAUGAAUCAAAUAAGAAAUCAUAAUGAAAAUUAGAAAGUGUUUUGAACUGACUGAAAAGGAAAACACAACAUAUCAAAAUUUGUGAGAGGCUGGUUAAAAAAAAAAAAUGACUCGGGAAAUUUCGUAGCAGUAAAAACACCUCUAUGAAGAAAGGUCUCAAGUCAAUGAGCUCAGAAAACAUGUUAAUAAAUGAGAAAAAGGAAAACAAAUUAAAUUAAACAGAACAAAGGUAAUGGUAAGUGUCAGAGUAGAAAUAAUACAUCCUCACCUGUCAGGGGAGAUACCAUGAGCACAAAGGUGGUUUUCCUAGAUUGAGGCUCAUCUAUUGCACCCUGAGUGUGCUGACACCCGAUAUUUCCACAAACAGGGGAGACUCGACUGCAUAAUUUGUGUACAUGGGGGACUGAGUUCGCACUUUCCCUGAUAAAAUAAAAACAAAGAAGUCAACGUAAUACAAAGCAGAAAAACAAUAAAGAAAAUCAAUGAACCCCAAAUCUGGUUCUUUCAGAAGAGCGAUAAAGUUUAUAAACCUCUAGCCAGAUGGAUCAAGAAAAAAAAAAAAAAAAGACUGAAGAGACAAACUACCAAUACUAGGAAAAAAGAGAGAUGGCAUCCCUAUAGAUCCUAUGUUUAUUAAAAUGGAGAAAUUUGAACAAUUUUAUGUCAACGGAUUCAAUAACUGAGAUGAAAUGGGGCAAUUCCUUAAAAGUCACAAACUACCAAGGCUCAUCCCAGAAGGAGAUCAUCUGAAUAACCCUUUAUCUAGUAAAGAAAUUUAAUUGGCAAUUAAACACUUUCUUAAGAAAGAAAGAAAACCUCAAUCAUAGAUGGUUUCACUAAUGAAUCCCUAUAUGAAACCAUAUGGAAUUAUAUAGAAGUAUGUAAACAGGAUCACAUACUUCUUGAAUCAUUCUACGAAGCCAGAAUUACAUUGAAAAGAAUGAAUUUGGGCCUCUACUUCAUCCUGUAUACAAAAAAAUUACCCAAAAUCAGUCAAUGACUUAAAU